rnacentral:rRNA from 1 species
GGGUUGUGAGGUUAAGCGACUAAGCGUACACGGUGGAUGCCCUGGCAGUCAGAGGCGAUGAAGGGCGUGCUAAUCUGCGAUAAGCGCCGGUAAGGUGAUAUGAACCGUUAUAACCGGCGAUACCCGAAUGGGGAAACCCAGUGUGACUCGUCACACUAUCAUUAACUGAAUCCAUAGGUUAAUGAGGCGAACCGGGGGAACUGAAACAUCUAAGUACCCCGAGGAAAAGAAAUCAACCGAGAUUCCCCCAGUAGCGGCGAGCGAACGGGGAGGAGCCCAGAGCCUGAAUCAGCAUGUGUGUUAGUGGAAGCGUCUGGAAAGGCGCGCGAUACAGGGUGACAGCCCCGUACACAAAAGCGCAUGUGCUGUGAGCUCGAUGAGUAGGGCGGGACACGUGGUAUCCUGUCUGAAUAUGGGGGGACCAUCCUCCAAGGCUAAAUACUCCUGACUGACCGAUAGUGAACCAGUACCGUGAGGGAAAGGCGAAAAGAACCCCGGCGAGGGGAGUGAAAAAGAACCUGAAACCGUGUACGUACAAGCAGUGGGAGCCCCACCACCAAAGCAUUCUCUGGUGUUGAAGGCCCUGCAAAGCAGCAUCGCGGUGGCGGAGCGUCGUUUGCGACGCCCAACACACAAAACAAGCGGUGAGUGCUUUGGGGUGGGGUGACUGCGUACCUUUUGUAUAAUGGGUCAGCGACUUAUAUUCUGUAGCA